ensembl:lncRNA
CAGACUUUUCGUGGAGUGUAUUUUUGUCUGUUACCCAUUGGAGUUUCCUGGUUCCAACUCCUUCAGCUCCAAGUCUGGCACCUUUGAGGCAAACAGAAAAUCCAGAGAGCUCAUUAUGUUGUUCUUUGGGUCACAGUUCCGUAGCAGCAGAGGCCUGAGACUUAAAGAGGGUGAAGAGGAGAGAAAUACAGCAUUUGAUUAUAGAGGAUUUCCCAAAUGGAUCAGUGGUAAAGAAUCUGCAGGAGACAAGGAAUCGAUCCCUGGGUCUGGAGGACUCACUGGAGGAAGAAAUGGCAACCCACUCCGCUGUUCUUGCCUGGAGAAUCCCACGGACAGAGGAGCCUGGUGGGUUACAGUCUGUGGGGUUGCAAAGAGUGGGACACGACUGAGUAACUGAGCACACACCCUGACCCUUAAAGAGCAACAACAAUAAAC